ACUCCCAUCAAAAGGGACGAUUGCAAAAGUUGGGGUUAACAUUGCACUGAGCUGAAGCCCCACCUCUGGGCUGGGAAAGUAAAAGCACUGAAUGGCUCUGGAGGCUCUGCCAAAGGAAAAGUUUUGCUCCCGGGACGGGGACGUGGUGAAUCCUACAACUGAGGACAAAGCAGACCUGACAGAAUGACAAGCACUGCUACAAAGAGCAGCUGCCCGGAUCGGUCCCGGAAAGCACUCAGCAGGAACCCAUUUCUCAGCAUCAAGAUAUUCCCCAGCCUAACGAUGCCCUGCGGUCAGGGCAGUGACUCCCGGAGGAGCGCAAAGAGGAGAUGUGGCCUCACAGAGCUUGAUUUGCAAGAUUUGGCUGCCCAAGAAAAGCAAAUCACCACCGUGGAGGAAUGGGAAGUGAAGAAGUUCUUCCAGAUUUUGCAAACAACUGAGUUUUGCUGAGAUGCUUUUUUUCUUUUUUCCCCAAAACUUGUUGGCUUAAAAUCACUGCAGAACUUGGGAAAAAAAAUUGGGCAGUGCUCUUCGUGUUUGCUUGCUCCUUGCUUUUCAACCUUCGGUCACUAACAGUCAUUUCAUAAAAGUCACGUGCUGGAGAAAAAAGGUCAGAACGUUCAAUGAAAGAGCAAAGCAGUCCUUCUGCUAUCAAUGUCCACCUCAGGAAGCUGUGCUGAGUUUCCUCCCCUUUGCUUCUCCCAAAGGAUCCCGCAGUGGUUACACCAUUGCAGAUCUCCCGUGGCUCCUGCUCCCUCCCUGGGUCCUUCUUCCAGUUCUGAGUUUUGUUCCCCCAUGAGAUUCCUUUCCAUCACUGGGAAGCCCCAGGGAGAUGGUUUUCAUCCCCAGAUUCCCAGCAGAUCAGAGAUCUCCGGAGCUCUGGAUUGCAGUGUGCUGCCUAUGUGGCAUCGCCCAGGGCCGGCUGCCACUUUCCCCCUAGAAUAGGAAGCUGAGGCCUGGGGACCAUUCCCAUUCUGGGUGAAACCCCUCAUUUUGGUGGAAACCCUCUUGGUUUUUUUGAACCCUUAGGGUUUUUUUUGGUGAAAAAACCCUUAUUUUCAGUGAAGCCCCCCUUCUUUGGUUGAAACCCUAUUGUUUUGAUUGAACCCCCCUUGCUUUCGUUAAACUCCCUUAUUUUUGGGGAAGCUCUCUCGUUUGGGUUGAAACCCCCCCUUUUAUUGACUGACACCUCUUGUUUUGGUUGAACCCCUUUUAUUUUUGGUGAAACCCCCUUGU